rnacentral:rRNA from 1 species
UACAGAGGUCUCAAGCGUUGUUCGGAUUCAUUGGGCGUAAAGGGUGCGUAGGUGGCGCCGUAAGUCAGGUGUGAAAUUUCGGAGCUUAACUCCGAAACUGCAUUUGAUACUGCGGUGCUUGAGGACUGGAGAGGAGACUGGAAUUCACGGUGUAGCAGUGAAAUGCGUAGAUAUCGUGAGGAAGACCAGUGGCGAAGGCGGGUCUCUGGGCCACUACUGACGCUGAGAAGCGAAAGCAUGGGGAGCGAACAGG